rnacentral:rRNA from 1 species
GACGAACGCUGGCGGCGUGCCUAAUACAUGCAAGUCGAGCGAGCUGAACCAGCAGAUUCACUUCGGUGAUGACGCUGGGAACGCGAGCGGCGGAUGGGUGAGUAACACGUGGGUAACCUGCCCUAAAGUCUGGGAUACCACUUGGAAACAGGUGCUAAUACCGGAUAACAACAAUAGCUGCAUGGCUAUUGCUUAAAAGGCGGCGAAAGCUGUCGCUAAAGGAUGGACCCGCGGUGCAUUAGCUAGUUGGUAAGGUAAUGGCUUACCAAGGCGACGAUGCAUAGCCGAGUUGAGAGACUGAUCGGCCACAUUGGGACUGAGACACGGCCCAAACUCCUACGGGAGGCAGCAGUAGGGAAUCUUCCACAAUGGGCGAAAGCCUGAUGGAGCAACGCCGCGUGAGUGAAGAAGGUUUUCGGAUCGUAAAGCUCUGUUGUUGGUGAAGAAGGAUAGAGGUAGUAAC